rnacentral:rRNA from 1 species
GCAGCCUGACCAGCCAUGCCGCGUGCAGGAUGAAGCAUCUAUGGUGUGUAAACUGCUUUUAUACGAGAAGAAACACUGCUUCGUGAAGCAGCUUGACGGUAUCGUAAGAAUAAGGACCGGCUAACUCCGUGCCAGCAGCCGCGGUAAUACGGAGGGUCCAAGCGUUAUCCGGAAUCAUUGGGUUUAAAGGGUCCGUAGGCGGGUCUGUAAGUCAGUGGUGAAAUCUCCCGGCUCAACCGGGAAAUUGCCAUUGAUACUGCAGGUCUUGAAUUACUAGGAAGUAACUAGAAUAUGUAGUGUAGCGGUGAAAUGCUUAGAGAUUACAUGGAAUACCAAUUGCGAAGGCAGGUUACUACUAGUGGAUUGACGCUGAUGGACGAAAGCGUGGGUAGCGAACAGGAUUAGAUACCCUGGUAGUCCACGCCGUAAACGAUGGAUACUAGCUGUUGGGUUGCAAGACUCAGUGGCUAAGCGAAAGUGAUAAGUAUCCCACCUGGGGAGUACGAACGCAAGUUUGAAACUCAAAGGAAUUGACGGGGGCCCGCACAAGCGGUGGAGCAUGUGGUUUAAUUCGAUGAUACGCGAGGAACCUUACCAAGGCUUAAAUGUAGAUUGACAGGACUGGAAACAGUUUUUU